GACAGAGGAUGCAAGCGUUAUCCGGAAUGAUUGGGCGUAAAGCGUCUGUAGGUGGCUUUUUAAGUCCGCCGUCAAAUCCCAGGGGCUUCAACCCUGGACAGGCGGUGGAAAACUACCAAGCUGGAGUACGGUAGGGGCAGAGGGAAUUUCCGGUGGAGCGGUGAAAUGCGUAGAGAUCGGAAAGAACACCAACGGCGGAAAGCACUCUGCUGGGCCGACACUGACACUGAGAGACGAAAGCUAGGGGGAGCGAAUGGG
rnacentral:rRNA from 1 species